CAGGAUUCCCCCAGUAGCGGCGAGCGAACAGGGAUAAGCCCAGCACCGAAUCCCGCGGCCGGCUGCGGACGCAGGGAAAUGUGGUGUUAGGGAGGACGUCACGUCUCGGGUCUGCGCGGCGAGUCCAAGUCCUUCUUGAACGAGGCCACUGCCCGUAGAGGGUGCGAGGCCCGUAGCGACCGCUGCCUGAUCCGAGGUGAUCUCUCCUCAGAGUCGGGUUGCUUGAGAGUGCAGCCCUAAGCGGGUGGUAAACUCCAUCUAAGGCUAAAUAUGACCACGAGACCGAUAGCGAACAAGUACCGUGAGGGAAAGUUGAAAAGAACUUUGAAGAGAGAGUUCAAUAGUACGUGAAACCGUUCAGGGGUAAACCUGAGAAACCCGAAAGGUCGAACGGGGAGAUUCAUUCGCGGCUCGUUCCCGAAGUCCGACGUCGGCGCGACGGACGGUCCCCGGACCGACCGCGCCCCUCGUCGCCCGCGAAGGGGACGAACGCGUGCACUUCUCCCCAAGUAGGACGUCGCGAUCCGUUGGGCGCCGGUCUAAGGCCCGCGGUGGAGACUCGGCGGCGACGCUCCCGCGUCCGCCGCCGAGACCCGCGGUGUUCCCGGCCGGCUCGCUCGACGGUACACAGACGGCGCUGGGCCGCGACUUCAGUUCGCGUCCGACGCGCGGCAAGCGCGCCGUGCGCUCCGGCGAUCGGACCCGGUGCCGAUCCCGGGCCGCGGCGGCUGUUCGCUGCGACGCUCUCGGACAGACCCAGUCGAAACGCCGAUCUGCGACGCCGUAGCUUUGGGUACUUUCAGGACCCGUCUUGAAACACGGACCAAGGAGUCUAGCAUGUGCGCGAGUCAUUGGGACACGACUAAACCUAAAGGCGCAAUGAAAGUGAAGGCCCGCCUCGCGCGGGCCGAGGGAAGAUGGGCGCUCCGCUCCGGCGGUCGCCCCGCAUUCCCGGGGCGUCUCGUUCUCAUCGCGAGGAGAGGCGCACCAAGAGCGUACACGCUGGGACCCGAAAGAUGGUGAACUAUGCCUGGUCAGGACGAAGUCAGGGGAAACCCUGAUGGAGGUCCGUAGCGAUUCUGACGUGCAAAUCGAUCGUCGGAACUGGGUAUAGGGGCGAAAGACUAAUCGAACCAUCUAGUAGCUGGUUCCCUCCGAAGUUUCCCUCAGGAUAGCUGGCGCUCGUCGCCAACGAGUCUCAUCCGGUAAAGCGAAUGAUUAGAGGCAUUGGGGCCGAAACGGCCUCAACCUAUUCUCAAACUUUAAAUGGGUGAGAUCUCCGGCUUGCUCGAACCGAUGAAGCCGCGAGACUCGGAUCAGAG
rnacentral:rRNA from 1 species